rnacentral:rRNA from 1 species
AUGGGACAACAUCAAUGCGCAGGCACUUUGGUACAUGCAAGCGCAAUCCGAAUAAGAAAAUGGAUCCAAACCAGACCACUUUGCAAGCAACUCCAGGAGAUGGCAUCAAUACUUGGAGAUAUGAUACAGAAAAAGUUGAAAAAGGCAUUCAAUGUGAUUGUCAUAGAGGAUGAAUUGCCUUUUCCAUUUGGUAAGAAAUCUGGAUUUAGAAAGUUCAUUUCAGUUGCUUGCCCCCGCUUUAGUCCACCGUCAAGAAGAACUUGUACCAGGGACACUCUCAAAAUCUAUCUAGAUGAGAAAUCCAAGUUGAAAAAGUUUUUCAAAGAGAAUUGUGGAAGUGUGUGUGUGUAA